CGGGACGUGGAUAACCUCGGGAAACUGAGGAUAAACCGCGAUAGGUCACUACUUCUGGAAUGGGUAAUGACUCAAACCUAUAUGGCCCCUGGAUUGGACUGCGGCCGAUCAGGCUGUUGGUGAGGUAAUGGCCCACCAAACCUGUAACCGGUACGGGCUCUGAGAGGAGGAGCCCGGAGAUGGGCACUGAGACAAGGGCCCAGGCCCUAUGGGGCGCAGCAGGCGCGAAACCUCUGCAAUAGGCGAAAGCCUGACAGGGUUACUCUGAGUGAUCUCCGUUAAGGAGAUCUUUUGGCACCUCUAAAAAUGGUGCAGAAUAAGGGGUGGGCAAGUCUGGUGUCAGCCGCCGCGGUAAUACCAGCACCCCGAGUGGUCGGGACGUUUAUUGGGCCUAAAGCAUCCGUAGCCGGUUCUACAAGUCUUCCGUUAAAUCCAGCUGCUUAACAGAUGGGCUGCGGAAGAUACUAUGGAGCUAGGAGGCGGGAGAGGCAAGCGGUACUCGAUGGGUAGGGGUAAAAUCCGUUGAUCCAUUGAAGA
rnacentral:rRNA from 1 species